GAUGAACGCUGGCGGCGUGCCUAAUACAUGCAAGUCGAGCGAACAGAUGAGGAGCUUGCUCCUCUGACGUUAGCGGCGGACGGGUGAGUAACACGUGGAUAACCUACCUAUAAGACUGGGAUAACUUCGGGAAACCGGAGCUAAUACCGGAUAAUAUAUUGAACCGCAUGGUUCAAUAGUGAAAGACGGUUUUGCUGUCACUUAUAGAUGGAUCCGCGCCGCAUUAGCUAGUUGGUAAGGUAACGGCUUACCAAGGCAACGAUGCGUAGCCGACCUGAGAGGGUGAUCGGCCACACUGGAACUGAGACACGGUCCAGACUCCUACGGGAGGCAGCAGUAGGGAAUCUUCCGCAGUGGGCGAAAGCCUGACGGAGCAACGCCGCGUGAGUGAUGAAGGUCUUCGGAUCGUAAAACUCUGUUAUUAGGGAAGAACAAAUGUGUAAGUAGCUAUGCACGUCUUGACGGUACCUAAUCAGAAAGCCACGGCUAACUACGUG
rnacentral:rRNA from 1 species